rnacentral:misc_RNA from 1 species
GAAAUGCGAUACGUAGUGUGAAUUGCAGAAUUCAUUGAAUCAUCGAAUCUUUGAACGCACAUUGCGCCCUUUGGUAUUCCAAAGGGCAUGCCUGUUCGAGCGUCAUUUGUACCCUCAAGCUUUGCUUGGUGUUGGGCGUUUUUUGUCUUUGGCUCGCCCAAAGACUCGCCUUAAAACGAUUGGCAGCCGGCCUACUGGUUUCGCAGCGCAGCACAUUUUUGCGCUUGCAAUCAGCAAAAGAGGACGGCAAUCCAUCAAGACUCCUUCUCACGUUUGACCUCGGAUCAGGUAGGGAUACCCGCUGAACUUAAGC